GUCUUCACCAAGGGUUAUGGAUUUGGCUUAAUAAAACUUGACUUGAAAACAAAAUCUGAGAAUGGACUGGAAUUUACGAGCUCAGGUUCAGCCAACACUGAGACCACCAAAGUGACCGGCAGUCUGGAAACCAAGUACAGAUGGACCGAAUAUGGUCUGACGUUUACAGAGAAAUGGAACACUGACAACACACCAGGCACAGAGAUCACUGUGGAAGAUCAGCUUGCACGUGGACUGAAGCUGACCUUUGAUUCAUCCUUCUCGCCAAACACAGGGAAAAAAAAUGCUAAAAUCAAGACAGGGUAUAAGCGGGAGCACAUCAACCUGGGCUGUGACGUGGAUUUCGACAUUGCCGGUCCUUCAGUCCGGGGUGCUGUGGUGCUGGGAUAUGAAGGCUGGCUGGCUGGCUACCAGAUGAAUUUUGAGACUGCAAAGUCUCGAGUGACCCAGAGCAACUUUGCGGUUGGCUACAAGAGUGACGAAUUCCAGCUCCACACUAACGUAAACGAUGGGACAGAAUUUGGUGGCUCCAUUUAUCAGAAGGUGAACAAGAAGUUAGAGACCGCUGUCAAUCUGGCCUGGACAGCAGGAAAUAGUAACACUCGCUUUGGAAUAGCGGCCAAGUAUCAGAUCGACCCUGACGCCUGCUUCUCGGCUAAAGUGAACAACUCCAGCCUGAUAGGUUUAGGGUACACUCAGACCCUAAAGCCAGGUAUCAAACUGACCCUAUCCGUUCUGCUGGAUGGCAAGAAUGUCAAUGCUGGCGGCCACAACUUGGUCUAGGACUGGAAUUUCAGGCAUAAAUGAAUACUGUACAGUCAUUUAAUUUUAAACUAUUUUGAGCCUAGCUACCUUCAGAAUUUAGUGUACCUUUUAAUGUUGUAUGUCUGGGAUGCAAGUAUUGCUAAGUAUCAUGUUAGACCUCCAGGUUAAAGAUGAUUCAGCUUUAAGGUGUUACCCUUUCAGAGGUACAGAAGAAACCCAAGUCCAUGAAAAGUUCUUUCAGCUGUAGACUUGGGGGGAGCUUGGUG